rnacentral:rRNA from 1 species
CCCUAAAAAACGGUACUCAGUUCGGAUUGAAGGCUGAAAUUCGCCUUCAUGAAGCUGGAAUUGCUAGUAAUGGCAGGUCAGCAUACUGCCGUGAAUACGUUCCCGGGCCUUGUACACACCGCCCGUCACACCAUGAGAGUUGGGAACACCCGAAGUCCGUAGCCUAACCGCAAGGGGGGCGCGGCCGAAGGUGGGUUCGAUAAUUGGGGUGAAGUCGUAACAAGGUACC